rnacentral:lncRNA from 1 species
CUCAUUUUACCACUGGUGAAUUUUAAGUGCAGAGAACCUAAGUAACUUGUUGUCACACUGGCAGACAGACUGCAGAGUCAGCAUUUGAACCCAGGGCUGCUGAACUCAGGGGACAUGCUCUGCCCCCUGCAUCACACUGCCACAUGCUGGGGGAACUGAGCUCUCACCAUGCAGCUUCAUCCCUUCUCUGGGCUUUUAGAUGAGCAGGGCUGGAGAUUUCCUGUUGCCAAAGCUGGGGGUCUGAGGCAUAGUUAUAUGUUAGACAUUGUUGCUAAAGUAGAGACCAGACAGGUGAAGAAAAAGCAUCCGGAGCACCCAGGUGAAACAGUUAAAGAAACCUGACCUUUAUCCCGCUGUGCUGCCUGGGAUUUUUGAGGAAGUGAAGUCCGUCUGCCAGAACCUUCCUUCUCCAGCUGACCCUCCUGGGCUCCCUUUUCUGUGGCAUCACUGGGCAGGAAGCUGGCAGCUGGGGGCAGAGGAUGGAGCUGGCGGGGGUGGGGGGCGGUGUCUAUGCAUAACUGGGGACUCCAGGAAGGCCUCACCACUGACGGAGCUUCUCCACCUCCUGCUGCAUUGGUCCCUACAGAUGCCCCAUGAGUCAGCAGCAGAGCCAGAAUGGGCCAGUCUGGGUCCUGCCGCCCAUCUCCUCUCCUGCAGCCAGAGGAUAACGGGAAAAAUAUGGAAGAGAGAAAAAGCAACCAUAUUGAAGUCUCCUAAAUGUAACAGAUUUGGAGCCCAAGAGCACUUCUUUUAGGUCACUAUGAAAGACAGCGAGAUGCCCAGACAUCUUUGAACUUGAUGUAUACAUGCAUUAAAAACUGUAAGUCCUACUCAUGAUUUAAAAACUUGAUUCUUUUAGUCGGAGCUCCUCCGUGGUGUUAAGCCCUGGCCUUUCUUGUUC